rnacentral:rRNA from 1 species
UACGUAGGGACCAAGCGUUGUUCGGAUUUACUGGGCGUAAAGCGUGCGCAGGCGGUUUUGUAAGCCAGAUGUGAAAUCCCCGGGCUUAACCUGGGAAUGGCAUUUGGGACUGCAAGGCUGGAGUGCGGCAGAGGAGACUGGAAUUCCUGGUGUAGCAGUGAAAUGCGUAGAUAUCAGGAGGAAUACCGAUGGCGAAGGCAGGUCUCUGGGCUGACACUGACGCUCAUGCACGAAAGCGUGGGGAGCAAACAGG